ACCAACUGGAUUGAAAUGCUAUUUCUGCAGAAAGUUUGGACACAUGAAAAGGAACUGCACAAGGUACCAGAGGUGGUUAGAAAAGCAAAAGAACAAAGGCAAAGGUGAAGGGGUUCAUAACCAAGAGGCCACCAAACAAGGAUGAGGUGAAGGUGUUCGUAGGAAAUGGAGUCAAAGUACAAGUGGAGUUCAUUGGAGCAGUUAGGAUUCAACUAGAUUCUGGUUUUGUUUUGGAUUUGGUAGAUGUAGUAUAUGUUCCUUCUAUGACAAGGAACCUUAUUUCAGUUGCUAGGCUUGUAAAAUCAAAGCUCACUUUGAGUUUUGAUGAAUUUGGUAUUUCAAUUUUCAAUAAUAAAGAGUUAGUUGGCAAUGGAA